rnacentral:tRNA from 1 species
CGGGGUGUCGUAUACCGGUAGUACGAGUGCUUUGGGAGCAUUUAGACAGGGUUCAAUUCCCUGCACCCCGACCA